UUCGUCUUCCAGUUUGUAGUUUGCAUGCUAUUCGCGUGUGCGUUUUCUAUUUGUGUAAUUUCAUCUAACACUUUGGUUUCGAUUUUCUGAUUUCUUCGUUAACUCAAACAAAGUGCUUCAACUUUCCCUUUCCUUCGAUCGAAACCAUCUUGCCCUGUAUAUAUUAUCCCUCCACCGUACCCUCUCGAUCUGCAAUAUUAUUUAUUCAUCACAUUGUCAUUGUUUCAAUCUCGCAACUUUUCGUUUUCUUUUAUCUAUUGUUGAAUUUGAGAAGAUAAAUUUUGGGAUCUAGGGUUCUUUUGUUUAUUGGAGAUUAUAGAAAAAUGGUGGAUAUGGAAGGUGUGGUAGGUGACAUGGCCUCGUUGGACCCGGAUAUUCUACAGCUACCUGAAUUAUCACCGUUCGCGCUGAAAGCCAAUCCAUAUCUUGCUGAAGAACUCUUCUCGCAGUGGCUUUCCCUUCCUGAUAGUUCCAGAUUGGUGAAAACUUUGCUCGCGGAUGUGAAGACAGGGACUCCCUUGAAUGCCCUUGGGAAUUCUACUAGCACGAAUGUUAUGCUGACCAAUUCAUUACCGUCUAUGUUUGCUGCUGGCAGCACUCCACCACUUUCACCCCGUAGUUCAUCUGGUUAUCCACGUCUGAAACAGAGGACUGGUCCCUCGUCUUUGGGUUCUUCACUAAAACUAGCUAGUGAACCGGUACGAGAAGUCAUACCUCAGUUUUAUUUUCAAAAUGGUCGUCCACCUACAACUGGAAUGAAAGAACAAUGCUUAUUUGAAAUUAAUCAGCAUUUUUAUGGUCGCUUGGAUGGACUGCAAGAACAUGAGUUUAAGUCAAUCACCAAGAGCUUUUGCAAGCUUCCAUCUUUUUUCUCCACUGCUCUGUUUAGAAAGAUUGACACUAAAGGUGCUGGCGUAGUGACAAGGGAUCAGUUUAUUGAUUAUUGGAUGAGAGGCAACUUCUUGACCAUGGAUUUGCCGACCAGAAUAUAUAGAGUUCUAAAGCAACCAGAUCAGGGAUACAUUACUCAGAGUGAUUUUAAACCUGUUUUACGAGAAAUUUUGGCAACUCAUCCCGGGUUGGAAUUUUUGCAAAGCACCCCAGAAUUUCAAGAAAGAUAUGCUGAGACGGUCAUAUACAGAAUUUUUUACUAUGUUAAUAGAUCUGGAACUGGCCAGCUUACUCUCAGGGAGUUGAAGCGUGGGAACCUAAUCACUGCAAUGCAGCAUUUAGAUGAGGAGGAUGACAUUAACAAAAUUUUAAGGUACUUUUCUUACGAGCACUUCUAUGUAAUAUACUGCAAAUUUUGGGAGCUCGACACCGACCAUGAUUUUUCUAUUGACAAAGAGAACCUUAUCAGAUAUGGUAACCAUGCUCUUACCUACCGGAUUGUUGAUAGAAUUUUUUCUCAGGGACCCAGGAAAUUUACUAGCAAGGUAGAAGGGAAGAUGGGUUAUGAAGAUUUUGUUUACUUCAUACUAGCGGAGGAGGAUAAAUCUUCUGAAUCUAGCCUAGAGUACUGGUUCAAAUGCAUUGAUAUGGAUGGCAAUGGAAUCCUCACAUCAAACGAAAUGCAGUUCUUUUAUGAAGAGCAAUUGCAUCGGAUGGAGUGCAUGGCCCAGGAGCCUGUGCUCUUUGAAGAUAUAUUAUGUCAGAUUUUUGACAUGAUUGGACCAGAGAAUGAGGGCUAUGUUACCCUACGUGACGUGAAAAGUUCCAAACUCUCGGGCCAUGUAUUCAACAUUCUUUUCAAUCUCAAUAAGUUCAUUGCUUUUGAAAGCCGUGAUGCUUUCCUCAUUCGUCAGGAACGUGAGAAUCCAACUUUGACAGAGUGGGAUCGUUUUGCACAUAGAGAAUAUAUAAGACUUUCUAUGGAAGAAGAUGUUGAAGAUGCUUCAAAUGGAAGUGUAGAUAUCUGGGAUGAACCAUUUGAGGCUCCCUUUUGAAAAGGCUUUGGAUACUAAGAGUGGAGCUUUUCAUUAAUUGAAGAUGCAUCGCUCCUAGGUGCUCGGGUUAUGGAAUAUCUACCAAUAACAAUGGAGGUAGAAGACUUUGGCGGGGAUCCAUGAUGGUAUCUUAAAGUUGGGUUGGAUAAAAGCUUCUGGCUCAAAUAAUGGCAAAGAGACGAGCAGGUUUGCUGCUAUAUGAGAAUCAUGUUUCUGAUUUGCAUGAUGGAUGAAGGAAGGUGAAGGUGGAGUCUUCGGAGGUCGGUUAUUUGAGAUCUUUCGAUGAAAAUGUGUUAUGAAGUUAACAUCACUGGAUUGUUUCCUGCAAACAAAGAACCAACUUAGGCCCAUUAGGGAUGGUAAUUGGGUGGAUUCUUUGCGGCUCUUUGAUUCGCCUCUCUAAUAAGAUGGGUUUAGCUAUACGGAGAAAUUUUUUUUAGUAGUUUUAAGGGAACUUGAAAUUGAAACUUAGACAUCAAAAAGAUUAUAGCAUUAAAUAUUUAUAUUAUCUUUAUGUACAUAAAUUUUCAUAUUAGUGAUAAUAUUUAGGCAACGUUUGUGUAUUUGCCUUUUAAUUUAA